rnacentral:rRNA from 1 species
GAUGAACGCUGGCGGCGUGCUUAACACAUGCAAGUCGAGCGAAGUAGUUAAGAAGAUUCUUCGGAUGAUUCUUAACUGACUGAGCGGCGGACGGGUGAGUAACGCGUGGGUGACCUGCCCCAUACCGGGGGAUAACAGCUGGAAACGGCUGCUAAUACCGCAUAAGCGCACAGAGCUGCAUGGCUCGGUGUGAAAAACUCCGGUGGUAUGGGAUGGGCCCGCGUCUGAUUAGGCAGUUGGCGGGGUAACGGCCCACCAAACCGACGAUCAGUAGCCGGCCUGAGAGGGCGACCGGCCACAUUGGGACUGAGACACGGCCCAAACUCCUACGGGAGGCAGCAGUGGGGAAUAUUGCACAAUGGGGGAAACCCUGAUGCAGCGACGCCGCGUGAGCGAAGAAGUAUUUCGGUAUGUAAAGCUCUAUCAGCAGGGAAGAUAAUGACGGUACCUGACUAAGAAGCCCCGGCUAACUACGUGCCAGCAGCCGCGGUAAUACGUAGGGGGCAAGCGUUAUCCGGAUUUACUGGGUGUAAAGGGAGCGUAGACGGCAAGGCAAGUCUGAUGUGAAAACCCAGGGCUUAACCCUGGGACUGCAUUGGAAACUGUCUGGCUCGAGUGCCGGAGAGGUAAGCGGAAUUCCUAGUGUAGCGGCGAAAUGCGUAGAUAUUAGGAAGAACAC